CGCCUGUUUAUCAAAAACAUAGCCAUUAGAUGAUAUUACAUGGUUUUACCUGCCCAAUGUUAUAUAUGAAUGGCCGCGGUACUCUGACCGUGCUAAGGUAGCGUAAUCAGUUGACCUUUAAAUGAGGUCAGGAAUGAAUGGAAUAACCGGGUUUAGCUGUCUCUGUGUCACUAUAUUGAAUUUACUAUCUAAGUGAAAAAGCUUAGGGUUAAAAAAGGGAGGAGAAGACCCUUAGAAUUUUUUUUAAAAGGAAAUAAAAUUUUCUUACAAUUUUAUUGGGGCGAUAAAGAAAUAAUUAAAACUUUCUUUUAUUACAAGCCGAUUAUAUUAAGUGAGAAUAAAUUACCUGAGGGAUAACAGCAUAAUUCUAUAAAUGAGUUUGUGACCUCGAUGUUGGACUAGGAAACUAGCAGGCUAGCCGUUUGCUGUGUUAGGUUCUGUUCGAACUUUUAUUCCU
rnacentral:rRNA from 1 species